UACAGAGAGUGCAAGCGUUAAUCGGAAUUACUGGGCGUAAAGCGCACGUAGGCGGAUACUUAAGUCAGAUGUGAAAUCCCCGAGCUUAACUUGGGAAUUGCAUCUGAAACUGGGUGUCUAGAGUAUGGUAGAGGGAAGUGGAAUUUCUGGUGUAGCGGUGAAAUGCGUAGAUAUCAGAAAGAACACCAGUGGCGAAGGCGACUUCCUGGAUCAAUACUGACGCUGAGGUGCGAAAGCGUGGGGAGCAAACAGG
rnacentral:rRNA from 1 species